GAUGAACGCUGGCGGCGUGCUUAACACAUGCAAGUCGAACGAUGAAGCCCAGCUUGCUGGGUGGAUUAGUGGCGAACGGGUGAGUAACACGUGAGUAACCUGCCCUUAACUCUGGGAUAAGCCUGGGAAACUGGGUCUAAUACCGGAUAGGAGCGUCCACCGCAUGGUGGGUGUUGGAAAGAUUUAUCGGUUUUGGAUGGACUCGCGGCCUAUCAGCUUGUUGGUGAGGUAAUGGCUCACCAAGGCGACGACGGGUAGCCGGCCUGAGAGGGUGACCGGCCACACUGGGACUGAGACACGGCCCAGACUCCUACGGGAGGCAGCAGUGGGGAAUAUUGCACAAUGGGCGCAAGCCUGAUGCAGCGACGCCGCGUGAGGGAUGACGGCCUUCGGGUUGUAAACCUCUUUCAGUAGGGAAGAAGCGAAAGUGGCGGUACCUGCAGAAGAAGCACCGGCUAACUACGUG
rnacentral:rRNA from 1 species